rnacentral:rRNA from 1 species
GAUGAACGCUGGCGGCGUGCUUAACACAUGCAAGUCGAACGAAACACCUUAUUUGAUUUUCUUCGGAACUGAGGGUUUGGUGAUUGAGUGGCGGACGGGUGAGUAACGCGUGGGUAACCUGCCCUGUACAGGGGGAUAACAGUCAGAAAUGACUGCUAAUACCGCAUAAGAACACAGCACCCCAUGGUGCUGGGGUGAAAAGUCCGGUGGUACAGGAGGGAGCCGCGUCGGAUUAGCUGGUGGGUGAGGUAACGGGUCACCAAGGCGAGGAUCGGUAGCCGGGUAGUGAGAGAGAACGCACACAUUGGGAGUAGGCCACAGUCGGAAAUCUUGCGGGAGGCAGCAGUGGGUGAUAUUGCACAAUCGGGGAAGUGCAGAAGCAGCGACGCCGGGUGAGUCAAGAAGUAUGUCGGUAAGUAAAGCACUAUCAGCAGGGAAGGAAAUGACGGUACCUGACGAAGAAGCCCCGGCUAACUACGUG